ACAUAUCAGCACAACAACCAUCAGGAGAGAUCUUAUAAACGUUAGCAAAUAAGCUCUAGGGAUUAAGAAAAUUGAAUCUGCCCAACAUAACAGGCACACGUUAGCUAUAAUGUUGCCUCCAACAUAACAGUUAACAAUCCAACAUAGCAGACACACAUUAGUUAUAAAAUUGCCUCCAACAUAACCCUUAACAGUCCAACAUAACAGGCACACAUUAGUUAUAAAAUUGCCUCUGACAUAAACCCUUAACCGUCCAGCAUCAGUUCAACCAUCACAGCAUAGUUCAAAGUUUAAAUAGUCCAGUACAGCCAAAAGACUUUAAAGCAUUAAACAUAGAAACAUCUCCAAAAGACAACCAUCAGCUUAUUUGAAGCAUCAGCUCCAAGCUUCCCAACAUCCAAAAGCUUCUUGAUAUCCUUGCUCACGUGCCAUUUCUGGUUUGGAGAAAACAGAGGAAGGGUCAUGAUACAGAGUGCAUACAUCUAAGUAACUAGCAGUUCCAAGUAGCAACUAAAAUACUGUGUUAAGUAGCAAUUAGAACAACACUACUAAGUGAUUGGUAGCAACUAGAACAUCACUGGUAUGUGAUAAGUAGCAAUUAUAGCAACAAUACAAGAAGAUAAGUAUCAAUUACAGCAACACUACUAGGUGAGCAAUUAGAACAGCAGUACUAAUCAUACACAGUGAGCAUAAACAUUAGAGCACGAGAACAAUUAAAGAUCAACCUACUUAAAGAAAGCAAUAUACAUCAAGCUAUUUAAAGAUCAGCCGCUUUGAACAUAUACAUCAAGCUAGAUUUUUCUAAGUAACAAACCUGAAUCAGAAACACCAAAAAGAAGAGACUUAC
rnacentral:lncRNA from 1 species